rnacentral:sRNA from 1 species
AGAUAGAUAGAUAGAGAGGGAUGGAUGGAUGGACAGAUGGACAGGCAGAUAAAUGGAUAGACAGACAUGUGUAUAAGAAGAUAUUGGUUUAAAAUAUUGUGAAAUGCAUAUGAAUCUUCAAAAAUUGUCAAUUUUUAUUUUUUCAACAUAAGGUUCCUUAUGGAAAAGGUAGCAUGGAGACUUCUUUAACACUGAGAACCUUAGAACUGAAUAGACACAAAAUCACAAGGAACUUUAAAUUGUAAUGUGAUUUCCUGACAUAGAAUCAGAAACCUUCACACACUUCUGUGAAGCCAGACAUCUUUGAAGGAUACAGAGGACACACAGCUAUCAAUAUAUACAGCAUCUUUAGGUAUCUGGAUCCAACCAUCAGGAGCUCUAAGCACUGACCCGCAAUGGCUGCCUGCCUCAGUUUGCACACCAGAUGGAUGCCAGUGCUGGUCUCUGUCAGGAAAGUACACAGAUUUCCUAAUGGUGCUUUCAACAUUAGUUCCUAUUAGAGUAUGUAACUGAAGAGGUAUCAGAGAUAACUCUUAUGUUUCUUUAACGUGAUAGAUGUUCCUCAUAUUUUUCUAAAUUUAGAAAUAUCUUGAACAUUGUGCCAUGUAAAGUAUUGAUUAUCGUUCAUGUGCAUGUUUUAACUUCUGCGAUUUAUUUAUUGACUUUUAAAGCUUCUAAUUUCAACACUAACUUCCAAACGGCAACAGAAGAAAAGUAAAACAACAUUAGUGGCAGAAGAAUAAUUUGGAUCAUGUGCGUUGGAAUAGAGGUACUGAACAGAACCACUCGAGUGGGAAGGGCCCAGGUCACCAUCAAGGAGACUAAAGCUGGGGUAGGAAGAGCAUGAGACGGUCUCAGAGGUAUUGGGCCUGUACUGGGAAGAUCUUUUCAGAUACCCCUGGAAUGCUCUGAACUCACAGGCGGGGGAUUUACAAGUGGGACUCUUUAUCCUGGUAGCUAGAUGUGGAAAUGGCACUUCCAAGUCCUAUUUGGGGAUGGCUUGCCCAGGGAGCUUGGCUCAGUGGAGUGUAGAAUGAAUGCCAACAUUAACAAUACUUCUGGUCCAAGUGCAAAUGUCUCCAUCAAGUUCUCAAAAAAUCCUUUUAUGGUCCAUCUGUUUGGACACACCCUGGUUCCAAACCUUGUUUUGCCUCAGGACCCACAUUCUUAGAAACUUGCUAGCUUGCUGAAGACUUGGCCUGCUUCUGCCUUCUGUUCUGCAACACUGACUGGAUGCUAAGAUUCAUUCUUUGGCUCUGUGACACUUGAGCCUUUGCAAAAUAUAUUAUGUUUAUUCACGCCCCCC